GUCGCCAUCCAGUCCCCUGCAGCGCCAGCCUCCUGUGACGUCAACAGCUGAGGUCGGUUGUAGUCGGAGCGCUUGGCGCGUGGGGCGGUGCGGAUGCCCAGUUAAUAUUUCAGCACAUGGAUUGUUGGGUCUGGCAGAGUUUGCCGCUGUAUUUCUCCUCAAGGUAGAACCAAAUGGUUUACUUGAAGGGCCUAUUUGAUAGAAAUAUACAGCACUGGCAAUCUUGCUGAAGAAACCACCAGAGACAAUGAACGAACAAGUUGAAAACAACUGAUGAGAAAUACAAUUUGAAGGUGCUAUUUUACUCAAAUGAAGUUGAUGAAUAAGAGUGAAACAGUAGACAGGUCUCUUAAAGCUGAGAAUCCCAACAGCACCCAGGAUGAAGCAGUGAAGAAUGUUCAGUUGUCCAUCAACCAUCCAUCCAUCUAACAUGUGCUUUUGAACACAGAUGAGCUAUGAGGCACGAUGUUUGGUUGGAGGAGUUGCCGAACCCAGGUCUCAGGGAGCACGACAUUAUCAUCUCAUAGGUAGGUAAAACAUUUUACAAAUUGAACUGUUCAACACAGAGGUUGGCGAGUGCCACUGGAGGUGUGCGAGCCCAGUGCUAUAGCACCCAAGGAGGAAAUUCUGCUUUUUUUAGUUGGGAGAUGACAGGAGAGCUACCAUGAAGAAAGGGGAAAAUUCCCCAGGAAGAGUGCAGAAAGAUGUAUACAGGAAAACACACAAAAGUGUAAAGAAGCUGGAAAUGCUUGCAGAAUCUAGUUCUAAAGCAUUUGCCCUCAGAAAGUCGUGGGCUGAGGGCUACGGAAAGAAACAACCCCAAGACUUUCUAGGUCUGAGAUCCAGGAAAGAGACUGGGUAUCAGUCACAGAGGGGAAGAUUGAACUUUUUAGGAACAUUAUUGUGAA